UACGUAGGGGGCAAGCGUUGUCCGGAAUUAUUGGGCGUAAAGAGCUCGUAGGCGGUUUGUCGCGUCUGCUGUGAAAACUGGAGGCUCAACCUCCAGCCUGCAGUGGGUACGGGCAGACUAGAGUGCGGUAGGGGAGAUUGGAAUUCCUGGUGUAGCGGUGGAAUGCGCAGAUAUCAGGAGGAACACCGAUGGCGAAGGCAGAUCUCUGGGCCGUAACUGACGCUGAGGAGCGAAAGCGUGGGGAGCGAACAGG
rnacentral:rRNA from 1 species